CCUUCCUGCCGCCAUCUUGGAGGGGAAGGGGGUGUUGCUAGGCGACGGGGGGGGCAACAUGGCGGGCGGCCUGCGGGGAGGAGGCGCGAUGCCCAUUCCCUCCAUAAACCCCGUGGGCACGUUACCUCGCACCGUCCCCCUGCCAUGGCCUCCCCUCUGUCUCCCGGUCCUGCCUCAGAGCCAGCGGAGGAGGCGGGAAGCCACAGCAGGGUGGGGAAGGAAGGACAGAAAUAACGCUGAUCCGCACCGGGCUCCCUCAUGUGACACAGAGAGGAAUAAAACAUCCCAAAACCUCCGUCUCCCUUCAGCCGAACACUGAUGCUUGGAAAUACAGGGCAUCGUUUGGGCUGCCAGGGCGGAACGGGAGCAAAAACCAAGACGCGGCUCCAGAGACGCGCUCUUCUGAAGACAGCAAAGGUGUUGCUCAAAUCACGAGCUGUGCUCUUCAACCUCCUCUUCCUCGGCAGCCCCCUGUGCUCGGAGAGCCCAGCUCCAAGCUCUGGCUGCUGGGAAGCUCCGAGAAGGGCCUUCCCCAUCGCAUGCCCCCUGCCAAGGGGUCAGGAAAGCGUCACGGCCCGUCCGAGCACAAGGAGGGGAGCAAAACGGCAAGAGGAGCUCCUGUCUCCCAGUUCCAUCCUUCCCAGGAGACGGGAGGAGAGAAGGGAUACGACACUGGAAAAAGAUCGGCCGGUCAGUUCGGUCCUACGGUGAAGGGGAAUAAGCUCCCCUCAACUUAAACCAAAAUAAAGUCUGUGGAAUAGCUUUACAAGCAAUGCCUCUUCUUCUGUAGUGUGCUCAGUGCCCGCACAGGUACCGUCGUAUGCUUGCAGCAGGAAAAUUAAAAAAAAUAAAGAAAUACCCCAUUUCCCCCCCAAAAGAAAAACAACAAAAAAAGGAAAAACUGGAACAGGGCUGCGUGUCGGGCUGGUCCUACCCGAUCUGGAUCUGGCCGGAGUACAUGGUGAGCAGCACCAUGAUGGUGAAGCCCGUCAGCAGCCCCGCGUUCUGGAUGGCGAAGGUGAUGAGUGCGCUGCCGUUCUGCUCGUCCUCGCGGCUCACCUCGUUCAUCUCAGGGAACUGGCCGAGGGACAGAGAGCGACAGCAGGAAUCAGCGCCAGGAGCUUCCCCGCUGCUUCCACGGCAAACACAGAGUCAUGAAGAGACCCUCAAGAUCAGCGAGUCCAACCAUUCCCUCACCUGUGUCCCUGAGAACCUCAUCUCUGUGUGUCCAACCCUCUAGGGAUGGUGACUCCAGCACUGCCCUGGGCAGCCUGUUCCAAUGCCCCACAGCCCUUUGGGGAAGAAAUGAUCCCAAAUUUCCAACCUCAACCUCCCCGGUGCAACUUGGGGCUGUUUCCUCUCGUCCUGGCGCUCGUCACCCUGGCCAGGUCCCACCGCACACCCCGAGCUCAUCGCCCAUCGCUCACCAUGUCAGCCAGCGCGAUGUACAGGAACAUCCCUCCGGCCAGAGCGAAGAUCCAGUUGGCAGAGAAGUGGCUGCCGGCCACGAUGCCGAAGGCCAAACCCACGUAGCAGCAGCAGGCGGAGAUGAAGUUGAAGAACAGCGCUUGGCGGAUGGUCAUCCCGGCGUUCAGCAGGAUGACAAAGUCCCCUGUGGGAGGGGAGGAUGAGGAUGAGGAUGAGGAGGGAGCAGCAGCAUCGGGGCAGCACCCAGGUGCUCCUAUUCAAUUUGCUUUUGUCCCAGGCCAAGCGUGGGCUCCCCGCAGCCGCCGGCGCCGAGCGCUGACCACACCAGCCACCUGCCAACGUGUAAACUCGGACAUUCCAACCCAAACCCAAACCGCCUCCGCCCUCCCAAACCAACAAGGUGUUUGUUUUUUCCCUUCUUCAAAUGUCUCCAUCUAAAUAUAAACCUCAGACAUCAUAUUA